rnacentral:rRNA from 1 species
UGACUGAGUGGCGGACGGGUGAGUAACGCGUGGGUAACCUGCCUCGUACAGGGGGAUAACAGUUGGAAACGACUGCUAAUACCGCAUAAGCGCACAGGGUCGCAUGACCUGGUGUGAAAAACUCCGGUGGUAUAAGAUGGACCCGCGUUGGAUUAGCUAGUUGGUGAGGUAACGGCCCACCAAGGCGACGAUCCAUAGCCGACCUGAGAGGGUGACCGGCCACAUUGGGACUGAGACACGGCCCAAACUCC